rnacentral:rRNA from 1 species
AUUGAACGCUGGCGGCAUGCCUAACACAUGCAAGUCGAACGAGUGGCGGACUGGUGAGUAAUGUCUGGGAAACUGCCUGAUGGAGGGGGAUAACUACUGGAAACGGUAGCUAAUACCGCAUACCAUCGGAUGUGCCCAGAUGGGAUUAGCUAGCGGGUGGGGUAAAGGCUCACCUAGGCGACGAUCCCUAGCUGGUCUGAGAGGAUGACCGGCAACACUGGAACGGAGACACGGCCCAGACUCCUACGGGAGGCAGCAGUGGGGAAUAUUGGACAAUGGGCGAAAGCCUGAUGCAGCAAUGCCGCGUGAAUGAAGAAGGCUUUCGGGUUGUAAAGUACUUUCAGCAGGGAGGCGUUACCCGAAGAAGAAGCAACGGCUAACUCCGUGCCAGCCGCCGCGGUAAUUC